CUCCCUUGCACUAGUAGCUCAGCGCUAAAGAGCGUCGGUCUUGUAAGCCGAAGGCCGGAGCCUCAAAGAAGGGAGA
rnacentral:tRNA from 1 species